rnacentral:rRNA from 1 species
GUCCUAGAGAAGCUAACCGCCCUUCUCGGCGACGAGUACAAGCGUUUCAAGGGUGUGCGCAAGGAGAUCAAGUCCCUCACUAGCGAGCUCAUUGCCAUGGAGGCUUUACUCCUGAAGUUGUCAGAGGAGGAGGAUCCUGAUGUGCAAGAUAAAUUUUGGAUGAAUGAGUUGCGGGAGCUGUCCUAUGAUAUGGAGGAUGGCAUCGACGACUUCAUGCAAAGUGUCGAUGACAAUGACGUAAAGCCAGCUGGCUUUAUUGAGAAGAUCAAAACCUCACUAGGGAAGUUGGGAAAGAUGAAGGCUCAUCGUCGGAUUGGAAAAGAGAUCCAUGAUAUGAAGAAACAAAUCAUCAAUGUGGGUGAGUGGAAUGCAAGUUACAAGAGUGGUGAGACCUUCCCCAAGACCAUCAAUGCGACCAUUGACCCUAGAGCUCUUGCUAUCUUCGAGCAUGCAUCAAAACUCGUUGGAAUUGAUAAACCAAAGUCUGAGAUAAUCAAGUUGUUAACGGAAGAGGUUGCCCAUGCACCAGUGAAAGAACAACAACCGAAGAUAGUCUCCAUUGUUGGAUCUGGAGGUAUGGGAAAGACAACUCUUGCAAACCAAGUGUAUCAAAAUUUCAAAGGACAAUACGAGUGCAGGGCUUUCAUAUCGGUGUCACGAAAUGCAGACAUGAUCAAUAUCUUGAGAACCAUUCUCAGUCAACUGGCUAAAAAUAAUUAUGGUAGUACAGAUGUGGGGAGUAUACAACAACUCAUCAGCAAGAUCAAUGAUUUCCUAGCGGACAAAAGGUGCAUGCUAUCUUUAUCUUUUCUUUUCCCUUUUACUUGA